rfam:Lactobacillus buchneri CD034, complete genome.
GGGGUCGUUAUGGAUUCGACGGGUAUAGGUUGAGUCUGGAUUGCGUUUCGUGCAGCGCCACGUUAAACCGCCCAGUUUAUUAUAACUGCAAAAAAUAAUAACAAUUCUUACGCUUUAGCUGCCUAAUAAGCGCUUAACGUAGAUCCUCCUAAUCUCGCCCAUGGGUUAGAUCUGGGUCCUAAAUUUAGUGGGCUCACGCAGUUUGCUCCCACCUGAAGUGAACUGAAGAGACUAAUCAGGUUAGCCUGCUGUGGGUGCCUUGAUUUAUGGCGUUUCAGUAGGUGAAAUUCAAAUAAUAGAUCUAUGAACGUAGAUAUCUAGGUGGCAAUAUGCUCGGACGCGGGUUCAACUCCCGCCGACUCCAUCA